AGGUGCCCAUACCUCAAGCUACAUCUUAUCCAUGGGAAGCUGGGGGAAGAAAUUGUGCAACUUGGGCUUGAAUGAGAGAAAAGCCACUAAAUGCUCGCUUGUUGCUUCCUCCAUUUGCCUACUGCUGGGUGUGCAGUACAUGUCUCAAGCCUAGCAGGCUGGGCCUCAUCCUUCUGGUAAAACUGCCUGAAGGACAGCAUGAUUGAUGUGACUGAGAUAGCACAUUACGUCUCCUACCUCUUGGACCUUAGCAAUAAAUAUCUCAGUGCAGCGAUUCUCCUCCUGCUGAAAGACAGCACUCAAACUAGGCACGUCUCUAGCAACAGACACCAGCUUUGUUUGCAGGCGAGCAUCGUGCAGCAUCAGAGGGCUCAGAGAUGAGGAGAAAAUACCAAAGAGAACAAAAGGCCUGUCCAAAGAUCAACAUACAAGGAAGAGCAAACACAUUCUCAGACCAACUUAAAACCAGGUUGCAGUGGCUCUUUUCUCUCCUUUGCACCAGCAGCCAGCUCACCCAAAUGGUGGGUGACAUUCAGGCAGACAAAUCGGCUUAUUUCAAGUCAAGGAGGGAAGAACUACAGCAGCUUGAGUUUAGAUUGUGAAGCUGCUGUGGAACCACACCCUCAGCAUCCUCUCAGGAAAGAGGCAGUGACUGAAGGGCAGAAAGAUGAAGCCAGGGCUGCAAGCUUGGAGAGGGGUUUAAACAUAAAAGACAACUUUAUUAAAUAAUUAGACAGUA